CUAGAGUGCGCCGGUCACGGUCAAUCCCGUGGCCGGGCGUGACAACCCGACUC
rnacentral:ncRNA from 1 species